rnacentral:rRNA from 1 species
UACGUAGGGGGCAAGCGUUGUCCGGAUUUAUUGGGCGUAAAGAGCGUGUAGGCGGCCACACAGGUCUGCUGUGAAAACUCGAGGCUCAACCUCGAGCUGUCGGUGGAAACCGUGUGGCUAGAGUCCGGAAGAGGAAAGUGGAAUUCCUGGUGUAGCGGUGAAAUGCGCAGAUAUCAGGAAGAACACCCGUGGCGAAGGCGGCUUUCUGGGACGGUACUGACGCUGAGACGCGAAAGCGUGGGGAGCGAACAGG